CUUCUGCUAAAGAUCGACAUUGCAAAGGCCUUCGACACGGUUUCAUGGGAAUAUAUCCUCGAGCUGCUGCAACACAUGAAUUUCCCGGUGCGUUGGAGAGACUGGAUUGCGCUGCUUCUCUCCUCCGUGUCCUCGGCUUGUUUGCUCAAUGGAGACCCGGGCUCUACGAUUCUCCAUCAGCGGGGGUUGCGGCAAGGGGAUCCCUAA
rnacentral:rRNA from 1 species